UACAGAGGGCGCAAGCGUUGUUCGGAUUCAUUGGGCGUAAAGGGUGUGUAGGUGGCUUCGUAAGUCGGGGGUGAAAUUUCGGAGCUUAACUCCGAAACUGCAUUCGAUACUGCGGUGCUUGAGGACUGGAGAGGAGACUGGAAUUCAUGGUGUAGCAGUGAAAUGCGUAGAGAUCAUGAGGAAGACCAGUGGCGAAGGCGGGUCUCUGGACAGUUCCUGACACUGAGGCACGAAGGCCAGGGGAGCAAACGGG
rnacentral:rRNA from 1 species